UACGUAGGGUGCAAGCGUUGUCCGGAAUUAUUGGGCGUAAAGAGCUCGUAGGCGGCUCGUCGCGUCGGCUGUGAAAACCUGGGGCUCAACCCCGGGCCUGCAGCCGAUACGGGCGAGCUAGAAUUCGGUAGGGGAGACUGGAAUUCCUGGUGUAGCGGUGAAAUGCGCAGAUAUCAGGAGGAACACCGGUGGCGAAGGCGGGCUC
rnacentral:rRNA from 1 species